rnacentral:rRNA from 1 species
UACGAAGGGGGCUAGCGUUGCUCGGAAUCACUGGGCGUAAAGCGCACGUAGGCGGAUUGCUAAGUCAGGGGUGAAAUCCUGGAGCUCAACUCCAGAACUGCCUUUGAUACUGGCGAUCUUGAGUCCGGGAGAGGUGAGUGGAAUUCCGAGUGUAGAGGUGAAAUUCGUAGAUAUUCGGAAGAACACCAGUGGCGAAGGCGACUCACUGGACAUGUAUUGACGCUGAGGUGCGAAAGCGUGGGGAGCGAACCGG